UUCAACGACUCGGGGUGCCCUUCCACGUGAAGGCUGAGAAAUACCCGUUGACCUGAUCUGGAUAAUGCCAGCGUAGGGAAGUCUCGGUAUGCCAAC
rnacentral:ncRNA from 1 species